rnacentral:lncRNA from 1 species
GCUGUUUAUUCAAAUUCUCAAUAGUUUCUUCAAGUUGUGUAAUUUUGUUCUGAAGAUCCCUAGUUUUCUUCUCAUACACAGAUAUUUUAGCUUUGCUCCGAAAUUCUGUCUCAGCUACCACCUUCUUCAACUUAACAUCAAAGUUGGCAGAAUUUUCUUUAAGCUUUUCUUCAACCUGCUGCUUAAUCAUGUCAUCAAUAUUGUCAUGAGUAUUUUCCGAAGAAUUUUUUUGAGCUUGUUCCUCAAGUUCCUUUAUUCUCUGUGACUUUUCGUUGAGUUGAUUUUCUAACUCUUCCUUUGUCUUUUCUUUCUCUGCGACGAGUUCAGAGCGAGCAGCCAAAAUUUCGGUUUCCUUUUCUUUUUCAUAAUAUUGUUUCGUAGAUUCAAGUUGUGAACGUAGCCUUGCAAUCUCAUCAGCAUUCUCUAAACUUCCUUGGGUCGGUGAAUGCUCUCGUAAAGCUGCCAAUUCCGCACUCAAGUUUUGUACUUGUUGCACAAGUCCUUCUUUGUCAGACCGUAAUUCAUGAAUUUCUUUUUCAAGAUUUGAAAUUUCAGUUUUACCGUCAGCAUCGACAGCCUCAGAUUGCAAGUGUUCUAGCUCGUUCUUAGAAUCUGCUAGCUCUUUUUCAGUUCUUUCCUUCUCCGACUUGAGUUGUUCAAAUUGUUCCUUCGUGAUCUGUUCAGCAUCACUGGAAGCCGAUUCUUGUAAUUGAUGAUUGGAAUCCUUUAGAGACUCUAUUUCUUUUUGCAUUGCUUCAUUUUCAGCAUUCUUAGAGGUUAACUCCUUGUUUUUGUUGGUCAAUUCCUGCUUUAGAUGGGCAAAUCUUGUUAAGCUGGAUUUUUUCAAAUUUUCACAUUUUUCAUUCCAAGCAGCUGCCAAUCUAGUAUUUUUGGUGUUUGCCUGCUCAACUUCCUUCUUCAAAUUUUCCACCUCUUCGUUUAGAGAAUUAACCUGUUGCUUAAAUGUAUCGGUUUCUUUUGCUGUCUCCUGAAGUUUCGUUUCCAACUCUUGUUUUUCUUUUUCUAAUGCUUCACAAUUUUUCUUUAACUCCUCUAACUGUGUGGGAUCAACACGCUCAUACUUGUUCAAAACGGACUGAAAUCUUAAUUUCCAUCGAGAAUUGUAUUCCUUCAUUAAGUUCAGACUUGCUGUCUUUGCGCCUAUUUCUGCCUUAAGUUCAUUUAUUUCAGUUUGUAAGGGAUUCAAUGAAGCAUUCAGUUUUUCAACCUCUUUCUCCAGCUCUUGUAUUUUUCCAAGUUUAGCAUCAUUGUCCUUUCUAAGGACACUAUUACUUUCAUAAAGUAACUGAACUUCUUGACUUCCGCUGAUAAUGGGGGUAUCUGUUUGGUCAUUUGACACAGGCAGAGACUGCAGACGGUUGAGCUCGAGUUGCAAUGAAUCAACGGUGGAUUGCAAAGACUUGACUUGUUGAUUCAAACCUCUAUUAUCCAGAAUUGUUAACUCAUAUUUAUUAUCCAUUAUUUCCUUUUCGUGCCUCAAGUAGCUAACAAGUUCACGUAAAUCGUUAUCUUGAACGGCUUCUAAAUUGGCAGAUAUAUUUAAAUUUUCAGAAGAAUUCUGUUGAAGAACAGUUAUUUGUUGACUAAGAGAAUCAAAUUGCGAAUGUAGUAGUUUAUUUUGAUUUUCAAGUCCCAAAAUGUAAUCUUUCAAGGAGCUAAUUUCAUCUUCCAUGGCUUUCCGCUGAAUAUUCCAAUCCUUUUCAGCACCUGAAAGUCCUGAGUGCUGCUGUUCAAAAUUUGCUUUGAGCUUUAAAUAUUUCGUAUUCACCUCGUCAAAUUCAGUACGUAAAUCCCGCAAUUUUUGAGUGGUACGCCCAUGACUAACGAUCUCUGAUUCGUAAUUAGAAUGACACUCCUUCAUUAGAGAUCUUUCUUUUUCAAUAUCUUCUUUCAAAGAGGUAAUAACACGAUCCGCAUCUGAACGAAUUUUUUCAUAAUCUUUUUUGAAAGAAAGUGCACUAUCCUUUUCACGAACAGCAUCCUCAAGUUGUUUGGCAAGUUCCUUGGACGAAGACUCUUUCUCUUCUUUUAGUACUUCAACUCUCUUAUUAAGAUCCAACAACUCAGAGCGAAGGGACGUAAUUUUCUCUUCCCUUGUGCUAAUUUCAGAUUCUACUAGAUGCUUAAACUGCUCAUGGGUUUCAUUCAUCAUUUCCAAGGUUUUUUCUGAAGCGAGGUAUUUUUGUUGAAUAUUACUCUUUUCAAGCUCGGCCAUGCGAAGUUUUUCCUUCGUCCUUUCCAGUUCAAUAGAUAUAGCCUCGACUUCAACAUUAUCAGGAUUUUGUGUCGUGUCUUUAUUAGCCGCGAUUAAUUUAGAUUGCAAGUUCUCCUGCCGUUCUUCCAUAAACUUUAAGCGCUCUUUCAACUCAGUGGUUUGUAUUUCUAACUGAUUUCGCACGGUGCGUUGCAAUGUUAUGUCUUGUUUUAACUCAGUGAUGUUAGACUGAAGUUGAAGCACCAAUGUUUGAUGCUCCCUCAAAUCAAAUGAAUUUUGUAGAGUAAGUCUACGAACAUCAUCGGAACACUCAGAUAGCUUUGAAUUAGCAACUCGAAGAUCAUUAGAAAGUUCAAGUAUUCGACUAUUCAUUGAGUCCACUGUUGCCGUAUACUCUUGAUUUGAAGAUUCAAUUUGAGCUUUCAUAUGGAAAUUAUCCUGCUGCAGGGACGAAAGUUUCGACUCCAAAUUAGAUAAAUCGGCUUUCAACUUAUCCUUGACGGAAGUUAAAAGCAGGUUUUCGCUUUUUAAAUUAUCAACAAUAUGAUUGGAUUGUUCAAGCUGGCUAUUACAGAUUGAUAAUUGAGAAGAAACAUUUUGAACUUCAAUUUUCUUAGAAGCAAGUUGCUCUUGUAAAGACUUAUAGCUUUCAUCAAGUUCAUCUUUACUUCUUUCAGAUAAAACAAGUGAUUUUUCCAGAUCAUUUAGCUUUUCAAGGGCUAAGCUUCGUUCAGAUGUUAAAGAGGUAAGUUGCAAUUGAAUAUUAGAUUUUUCGAGCUGGAGAGAUGAGAUAGCUUCCUCAAACUUUUUUUCUUUGUUACGAGAAAUUGACUUAAGGGACUCCAGUUCAUUAGUUAGCUGUUCAAGUCGAAUAAGCGAACGCUGGUAAGAAGUCUGCUCAAUUAAAUUAGUAUUCAAUUUGGAAUUAGGAGUUGCAGGCGCCAUAUCUAAAAGUUUUUCAUUCUCUUGAACUAGUGAUCUAAAAAAGUCUCGUUCCUUUAAAGAGUAGCGUAACUGAUCGCUCACCUCCUCCAACAUUUUAGUAAGUUGAUCAAUAGUUUCGUUAGCUUUUAUCAGUGUUUCUUCUUGAAUCUCGGCUCCAUCAAGAUCAGGUUUUUCGUCUUUCUCCAUACGAUCAGCUAAUUCAUGAACUGCAGACAGUAGAUUUUGAUUUUGUUGUUGCAAUUCUCUAAUAUUACGAAAUACAACUAGCCUGCUUGAAAUUAUUUGAUCCGUAUCAGUUUCAUCUUCAGUGAGCGAUUUUUCAACAUAGGAGUUAAUCUUCUUUCUACUAUCCACGCCUAGCACUAUGCCGUUCUCACACAAAUCGAGUUCAUGAAGUAAAACUUGCACCUGUCGCGCUAAAUCUUUGGUCUCUUGCUCAUAAUGCUUAUUCUCUGUGCAUUUAUCUUUAAAUAGUGUCUCUAAUUGCUCGUAACGGGACUUGGCUUUCUGACAGUCUUCCAAUGACUUCUGAUAUUGCUCACUCAUUGCAACAAUUUCCCGUUGCAUAUGAGCAAAUCGCUUAAACUGUUCUUUAACCAAAGGAUGCUGAAGAUUCGCUUCUUCCAUAACAUGGUUAUAGCUACGUUGUAACCUUUCAACCUCUUGACAUGUUUGCUCAUACUUCUGUUUAUAGUAUAAACGCUCGGAAUACAAGUCAGAGACGGAGGACUGACCUUUAAAGCCUUUCAUACUAUUAUUUAGUAAAUUUGAGUAUUUCAAUUCACUCAUAUCUGAGAUUUCUAUUUCAUCAUAAUGCCGAAGACGCUCAUUAGCCAACUUUAGCUGAGACUCUAAACUUGAUACCUCUUUCUCUAGAAAAUUGAUUUGAGAUUUCAAGGAAGCUUCUGCUUCCUUAUGAGAUUCAAGCUGUUCUUCAAAAGAUGAUUGUGCAGCUUCCAAUAGCUUUUCCAACUCGCCGUUUGAGUUCUGCAACUCUUUGAGCCGUAAAGAGCAAUCCUCACAUUUCUCCAUCCACAACUCACUAAUUUGCUUUUGUGAAGAAAUCUCUUUUUCAAAAGAAACUUGCGAAAACUCAUAUUGCUUUCGCAUUUCGGAGAGUUCAGCUACAAUAUUCUGAUAUCGUAAAUUACUUUCUGUAAACUGUUGAGACAAAGAACUCACUUUCCGUUGUAGCGCAUCUUUUUCCAAAACAGCGUCAGAUAAUUGAGAACUUAGUUGAGACUUUUCCAAAGAGGCCUCCUGAUGAAGAGAUAACAAUUUGUCGUUCACACCCUGAAGCUCUCGGCUUAACCAGGUGUUAUUAUUUUCCAAAAUCGAAUUUUUCUGCGUUAAUUUUUGCAACUCAAACUCAUAGUUAGUCUGCAAAGAUGCUUUUUCUUGUUGUGUAUGUUGAAGCUCCAAAACUUGAUGGGUAGAACUGGCAAGGGCAUCCUUUAGAUCUUUAAUGAUAGUGAUUUUCUUUUCAACUUCCUUUUCUUUAUCUGAUAAAAGAUUUUGAAGUUGAGCAGUUUGCUUCAAAUUUUGAUCCUGAGCUUGUUUUAAUGCCUCAUUUACACUUUUGAGAGAACUGCAAUCGUGCAAAACAGUGUCAUAUGAAGAGGAUUUCUCCCUAAGAUAUUCUUUGAUUUGAGAGAGUUCAUUCUCUAAAAGCUUGCGCUCAUCCUCUAAUAAAUCGUAACGUUCGUUUGAUUGAAGUAGUUUCUUCUCCGAAUUUCGCAAUUGUUGCUCGUAAUUGACUUCUGUAACUAUACGAUCAUUUUUUAUACUUUCAUAAUCUUUGCU